UACGUAGGAGGCGAGCGUUGUCCGGAAUUACUGGGCGUAAAGCGCGUGUAGGCGGUCGCACUUGUCGGGGAUGAAAGCCCUCUGCUCAACGGGGGGAGUGUUCACGAAACGGCGCGACUAGGUGGAGUGUGGUAGGGGGAGGCGGAACGGCCGGUGGAGCGGUGAAAUGCGUAGAGAUCGGCCAGAACACCAGUGGCGAAGG
rnacentral:rRNA from 1 species